rnacentral:lncRNA from 1 species
GGGUUUAUAACCCGAUUCGUGUGCGAUUUGUGUUACACGAAUGCCAAAUGUUCUCGCACUGUGCGUCGUUACGCUCCUACAACGACAUAUUUUAACGAGUUGUCCAUGCAACCGGAUCGAAUCGGACACAGUCCGAAGGGAGUAUAUAAUUUUUCAAUUUUCCAUUCUCCCAUUCCAUACUGUGCUGAUUUGGCGACAGACAAAUCUUAGGCGACUCCAAGUUUCAAAGUAUGCGCCUUUCGCAAAACAUGGAGCAGCGUUUAGUGAAGAAUGAUAUUCGACGAAUGCUCUGAUAAAUAACGCAAAUGUUGCAAACCUGUAGCUAAGAAACCCGAUCCUGCGACAAGUGAAACAUUCCAAUCAGCCAUUGU